AGGCCUUUUGUGAUAAAACCCCACACCUGAGGAUUGUGCAGGUGGUUAAGUGGGGACAGUAUCGGUGUUGUUGGAGUGGGCCCUCGGCCCGUCGACCUGAAAAUUUCCACAGGGUCCUUUUUGUGCCUACCAAGUGAUUUAUGUAUGUAUGCUUACCAUAUCUCGACAAGUUGCUUCCACAACGCUCGACAAAUUCUCUCUAUAUCCUCAUCAUAUUGCUUCAGGAUAUGUCAUAUAUGUUCACAUGUGUACAAUAUGGUUUGACUGAUAAUAACAAACCUACCAAGUGUUCGAGGGAAUGCUCAUUGAAUAAACUGAAAUUUUUUUA